rnacentral:rRNA from 1 species
CUACGGGGUGCUGCAGGCGAGAAAACUUUGCAAUGUGCGAAAGCACGACAAGGUUAAUCCGAGUGGUUUCUGCUAAAGGAACCUUUUGACAGUCCUAGAAACACUGUUGAAUAAGGGGUGGGCAAGUUCUGGUGUCAGCCGCCGCGGUAAAACCAGCACCUCAAGUGGUAAGGAUGAUUAUUGGGCCUAAAGCAUCCGUAGCCGGCUCUGUAAGUUUUCGGUUAAAUCUGUACGCUCAACGUACAGGCUGCCGGGAAUACUGCAGAGCUAGGGAGUGGGAGAGGUAGACGGUACUCGGUAGGAAGGGGUAAAAUCCUUUGAUCUAUUGAUGACCACCUGUGGCGAAGGCGGUCUACCAGAACACGUCCGACGGUGAGGGAUGAAAGCUGGGGGAGCAAACCGGAUUAGAUACCCCGGUAGUC